GACGAACGCUGGCGGCGUGCUUAACACAUGCAAGUCGAACGGUAAGGCCCUUCGGGGUACACGAGUGGCGAACGGGUGAGUAACACGUGGGUGAUCUGCCCUGCACUUCGGGAUAAGCCUGGGAAACUGGGUCUAAUACCGGAUAGGACCACUGCCUGCAUGGGUGGGGGUGGAAAGCUUUUGCGGUGUGGGAUGGGCCCGCGGCCUAUCAGCUUGUUGGUGGGGUGAUGGCCUACUAAGGCGACGACGGGUAGCGGGCCUGAGAGGGUGGCCGGCCACACUGGGACUGGGAUACGGACCAGACUCCUACGGGAGGCAGCAGUGGGGAAUAUUGCACGAUGGGCGCAAGCCUGAUGCAGCGACGCCGCGUGAGGGAUGACGGCCUUCGGGUUGUAAACCUCUUUCAGCACCGACGAAGCGCAAGUGACGGUAGGUGCAGAAGAAGGACCGGCCAACUACGUGCCAGCCGCCGCUGUAA
rnacentral:rRNA from 1 species